AUGUUUUAGGUCUGUACGUACUAAAAGGUUCCGUUUUAAACUGCUGACCACAAUACCCAGUACCGUACGGCGCACCCUUCUGCCGUACGGUGGUGUUUUUCUAGGAACAAAAAUAACAGUCAAGAAUCAAAGGUUGGGUGCUGAGUGGGGGAUUCCUUUAUAUGUGUUUCAGCAAUUUUAGUGCUGUGCUAUGUUGAGUAUAUGAGGCGACUUUUCCUUAAUUGCUUUUGGCAUGUGUUGAUAGUUUUCUCUUCCUGACAAAAAAAAAAAAAAAAACCUAUAUUAGUGCCCUCAAGUCCUUUAGAUUAUCAGCAAACUCUAAAAAGUGCGGGUGUUUGGGUGAAGCAGCUGCGAUGGACAGUAGAAGGGGCUGAUCUUUGAUCAAAAGGUGAGUUCAACUUCCCUGGGUGCAUAUUUCAGCAAUGUAACUUGGGUGGGUGCUCCUCGUGACAUCUGCAAAUGUAACUUUGGUAUGCCUCAUGGAGAUCUGCAUAUGGCAUUCUCUUUUAUUUCUCUCGCUUGAAUUUCUCGUGCAUUGUGUUGAAUUUUAAGCGUAAGGCUCCAGAGGAGCCACAAAAUAUGUUCCCCUGAUGGAUGCAAGCAACGAAACUAAUUUAAUAGGAGUAUCAACUACUUUGACAAUCCGGACGGUAGGGAAUUUUUUUUAGAGUUUAUUAUAGUGCUGGGGCUAUAUAUGUAAGCCAGAUGGAAAAGCAACCAAUUCCACAAAAAUGCAAGCAUUUGGUAUAUUGGAACAGGAGCAAAAAUCAGAAAAUCUUGGCGAUAAAUAACAAAAUUCUGAUCUCACAAAUUGCCCGACAAAGGUCAUCAAAGUGGGUGAAAGAACCCGAGCCUAAAUUAGUUAAACCCAUACGUAAAUCUUAGAUCUCAUCAAUGACUUCAAGAAGGUCAUCAACCUCCUGCCUCAAAGCUGUGAGUUUCUGCUGGAUCAACGCAACCCGGUUCUCCAUUUCCCGUCCCCCAG